CCUACGGGAGGCAGCAGUGAGGAAUAUUGGUCAAUGGGCGCGAGCCUGAACCAGCCAAGUAGCGUGAAGGAUGACUGCCCUACGGGUUGUAAACUUCUUUUAUAAAGGAAUAAAGUAAGGCACGAGUGCCAUCUUGUAUGUACUUUAUGAAUAAGGAUCGGCUAACUCCGUGCCAGCAGCCGCGGUAAUACGGAGGAUCCGAGCGUUAUCCGGAUUUAUUGGGUUUAAAGGGAGCGUAGAUGGGUUGUUAAGUCAGUUGUGAAAGUUUGCGGCUCAACCGUAAAAUUGCAAUUGAUACUGGCAGUCUUGAGUACAGUAGAGGUGGGCGGAAGUCGUGGUGUAGCGGUGAAAUGCUUAGAUAUCACGAAGAACUCCGAUGGCGAAGGCAGCUAACUAAACUGCCACUGACACUGAUGCUCGAAAGUGUGGGUAUCAAACAGGAUUAGAUACCCCUGUAGUC
rnacentral:rRNA from 1 species